GCCCAGAUAGCUCAGUCGGUAGAGCACAUCCUUGGUAAGGAUGAGGUCACCAGUUCAAAUCUGGUUCUGGGCU
rnacentral:tRNA from 1 species